UUGGCAGUAACAUGCAUUCGAUCCAACCUGUCAUGCACCUCUUUAAACGCCUUGACUUCAUUCUCUCUUACCCUUUGCAUAUCCACCCUGUUUUUUGAGAUAUCAGACCCUGUUUCCUUGGAGAUAGUAUGAAUGGCAUCCACAGUCGACUUGAUGUCGGAGAGUUGAGAGUCAACAGAACGCAGCUUAUCGCUGAGAUUUGAGGGAAUAGACGGAGGUGGAGCAACAAAAGUCGGCUUGAUUUCCUUAGGAGUGGGUUUGGCC
rnacentral:lncRNA from 1 species